AGGUGAUAAUGGGAGUGAAAGUAAUGGUACAGCUUUAAAGGAGGAAAGGGAGAGUUGAGAGAAGAUUCAGUCAUAUUUGCAAAAUGAAAGGAGGGGACGCUGAGGAAGGAGAAAUUGAAAAUGCUGUUAACAUUUAUUUAGCAUCUUCCCUGUGCCUGGUCUCAAUACUCCGGGGACAUAGAAAAGAGGCUGGCCGAAAAAUUACCAGGAAGAGAAAAAGGGAAGAUGACAGAUAUAAGAAAGCAGGAGAAAAGAGCAUGAUAGAGCAAGAAAAAUCACUUUGACAGUGGCAUGAGUUACAAACUGGAGGUGGAGAGGCCUGCAACAAAACAAACAGUUCUGAGCCUACUGCAAUUACGGGACCGUUGCAGAUUUCCACGGAUGCAAGGAAGCACAGUGACUAGUAACUGCAUGGAACACCAUGUGACCCUCACUGGUUUAAAGCAAAC